UACGUAGGUGGCAAGCGUUGUCCGGAAUUAUUGGGCGUAAAGGGCGUGUAGGUGGAUUCCUAAGUCGUGUGUCUAAGUGCGGGGCUCAACCCCGUAUAGGCGCAGGAAACUGGGAAUCUUGAGUGCAGGAGAGGAAAGUGGAAUUCCCAGUGUAGAGGUGAAAUUCGUAGAUAUUGGGAGGAACACCAGUGGCGAAGGCGGCUUUCUGGACUGUGUCUGACACUGAGGCGCGAAAGCGAGGGGAGCGAACGGG
rnacentral:rRNA from 1 species